GCAGGAACUAUAAUCAGCCUUGAUUUUAGGUCAGGCUUUCGUGCUGGGAGGCCCGCCCUAAAAUCAAAACGCGAGAAAAACCUCAGGAGGUGGGAGCAGCUGAGGCCAGACCUGGGGGAGGGUCCGUGAGGGGAAGGAGGGAGCAGAUCCCAAGGCAUCUCGGCGGAGAAAGGGACGCAGGGUCUUACUCUGCUACACAUGCUGGAAUGCAGUGACGCAAUCAUAGCUCACUGCAGCCUCGACCUCCUGGGCUCAAGCAAUCCUCCCACCUCAGCUUCCCGAGUGACUGGGAGCACAGGUAUGUACCAUUACCACCACGCCUGGCUAAUUUUUAAAUUUUCUGUAGAGAUGGGGUCUAUGUUGCCCAGGUUGGUCUCGAACAUCUGGGCUCAAGUGAUUUACCCACCUUGGCCUCCCAAAGUGCUGGGAUUACAGGUGUGAGCUACCAUACCUGGCCUUCGUUUAUAUUUUCAUACAGAAGGGUAAAUCAUUUAAAUAGUGGGGUGCAACUGUCCACAAAAGCAAUAGGAGUAAUUCAUUGAGAAGCUUUCUGCCCCCAUGAGGCACCAGUCUUCCUUCCUUCCUUCCCUC
rnacentral:lncRNA from 10 species